UACAGAGGGUGCGAGCGUUAAUCGGAAUUACUGGGCGUAAAGCGUGCGUAGACGGUUAUUUAAGUCGGGUGUGAAAGCCCCGGGCUCAACCUGGGAAUUGCAUUCGAGACUGAAUAGCUAGGGUACGGUAGAGGGAAGCGGAAUUUCCGGUGUAGCGGUGAAAUGCGUAGAUAUCGUAAGGAAGACCAGUGGCGAAGGCGGGUCUCUGGACAGUUCCUGACGCUGAGGCACGAAGGUCAGGGGAGCAAACGGG
rnacentral:rRNA from 1 species